rnacentral:rRNA from 1 species
GGCCCGGCACAAGCAGCGGAGCAUGUGGUUUAAUUCGAAGCAACGCGAAGAACCUUACCUAGACUUGACAUCCCCUGAAUUACCUGUAAUGAGGGAAGCCCUUCGGGGCAGGGAGACAGGUGGUGCAUGGUUGUCGUCAGCUCGUGUCGUGAGAUGUUAGGUUAAGUCCUGCAACGAGCGCAACCCUUAUCAUUAGUUGCUACCAUUAAGUUGAGCACUCUAGUGAGACUGCCCGGGUUAACCGGGAGGAAGGUGGGGAUGACGUCAAAUCAUCAUGCCCCUUAUGUCUAGGGCUACACACGUGCUACAAUGGUGAGUACAGAAAGAUGCAAGACCGUGAGGUGGAGCAAAACUUUUAAAACUCAUCUCAGUUCGGAUUGUAGGCUGAAACUCGCCUACAUGAAGCUGGAGUUGCUAGUAAUCGCGAAUCAGCAUGUCGCGGUGAAUACGUUCCCGGGCCUUGUACACACCGCCCGUCACACCAUGAGAGCUGGCAACACCCGAAGUCCGUGAGGUAACCGUAAGGAGCCAGCGGCCGAAGGUGGGGUUAGUAAUUGGGGUGAAGUCGUAACAAGGUAGCCGUAGGAGAACCUGCGGCU